UGGCUUAGUGGUUAAGCAUUUGGCUGCUAACCCAAAAGUCGGUGGUUCUAACCCACC
rnacentral:tRNA from 1 species